UGAGGAAUAUUGGUCAAUGGGCGCGAGCCUGAACCAGCCAAGUCGCGUGAGGGAUGACGGCCCUACGGGUUGUAAACCUCUUUGUCGGGGAGCAAAUUCCGCCACGUGUGGCGGAGUCGAGAGUACCCGAAGAAAAAGCAUCGGCUAACCUCCGUGCC
rnacentral:rRNA from 1 species